GAUCCUGGCUCAGGAUGAACGCUAGCUACAGGCUUAACACAUGCAAGUCGAGGGGCAGCAUGGUCUUAGCUUGCUAAGGCCGAUGGCGACCGGNGCACGGGUGAGUAACACGUAUCCAACCUGCCGUCUACUCUUGGACAGCCUUCUGAAAGGAAGAUUAAUACAAGAUGGCAUCAUGAGUUCACAUGUUUACACAUGUAAAGUUAAAGGUUCGUUACCGGUAGACGUAGGUGGGGUA
rnacentral:rRNA from 1 species